AAACAUGUGAUCACAGCCCGUUGAUGGAGCUAGUUCUAUAAAGUUUGGUUUGAUAUCUCGCUGAAAUUCAUCGCAAUUGUGUUAAAUCAUUUUGGGAGAAUAAUGUCUGUUAAGGUUAGUUUUUAUAAAUGGUUUGGUCGAAUAAAUAUACACCCACGUGGGCAUAUAUUCUCCGAUCCGAGUUCGUGUUUACCAGGUUGGAAUCCGUGAAUGUUUAAUACACUGGUGUAAAAUGUUCGGCGUAAAAUGUUCUUAAUGUUUACGCCAUUGGCGUAAAGCUAACAAAUGAAAUAAAAAUC